ACCAGGUCUUGACAUCCCGAUGCUAUUCUAGAGAUAGAAGUUACUUCGGUACAUCGGUGACAGGUGGUGCAUGGUUGUCGUCAGCUCGUGUCGUGAGAUGUUGGGUUAAGUCCCGCAACGAGCGCAACCCCUAUUGUUAGUUGCCAUCAUUCAGUUGGGCACUCUAGCGAGACUGCCGGUAAUAAACCGGAGGAAGGUGGGGAUGACGUCAAAUCAUCAUGCCCCUUAUGACCUGGGCUACACACGCGCUACAAUGGUUGGUACAACGAGUUGCGAGUCGGUGACGGCGAGCUAAUCUCUUAAAGCCAAUCUCAGUUCGGAUUGUAGGCUGCAACUCGCCUACAUGAAGUCGGAAUCGCUAGUAAUCGCGGAUCAGCACGCCGCGGUGAAUACGUUCCCGGGCCUU
rnacentral:rRNA from 1 species